rnacentral:rRNA from 1 species
AUGGCUGGGAAACUGCCUGAUGGAGGGGGAUAACUACUGGAAACGGUAGCUAAUACCGCAUAACGUCGCAAGACCAAAGAGGGGGACCUUCGGGCCUCUUGCCAUCGGAUGUGCCCAGAUGGGAUUAGCUAGUAGGUGGGGUAACGGCUCACCUAGGCGACGAUCCCUAGCUGGUCUGAGAGGAUGACCAGCCACACUGGAACUGAGACACGGUCCAGACUCCUACGGGAGGCAGCAGUGGGGAAUAUUGCACAAUGGGCGCAAGCCUGAUGCAGCCGUGCCGCGUGUAUGAAGAAGGCCUUCGGGUUGUAAAGUACUUUCAGCGGGGAGGAAGGGAGUAAAGUUAAUACCUUUGCUCAUUGACGUUACCCGCAGAAGAAGCACCGGCUAACUCCGUGCCAGCAGCCGCGGUAAUACGGAGGGUGCAAGCGUUAAUCGGAAUUACUGGGCGUAAAGCGCACGCAGGCGGUUUGUUAAGUCAGAUGUGAAAUCCCCGGGCUCAACCUGGGAACUGCAUCUGAUACUGGCAAGCUUGAGUCUCGUAGAUGGGGGUAGAAUUCCAGGUGUAGCGGUGAAAUGCUAGAGAUCUGGAGGAAUACCGGUGGCGAAGGCGGCCCCCUGGACGAAGACUGAGCUCAGGUGCGAAAGCGUGGGGGGAGCAAACAGGAUUAGAUACCCUGGU